AGAGUUUGAUCCUGGCUCAGGACGAACGCUGGCGGCAUGCCUAACACAUGCAAGUCGAACGGAGAUUACUUCGGUAAUCUUAGUGGCGAACGGGUGAGUAACGCGUGGGCAACCUGCCCUCUAGAUGGGGACAACAUCCCGAAAGGGGUGCUAAUACCGAAUGUGACAGCAAUCUCGCAUGAGGAUGCUGUGAAAGAUGGCCUCUAUUUAUAAGCUAUCGCUAGAGGAUGGGCCUGCGUCUGAUUAGCUAGUUGGUGGGGUAACGGCCUACCAAGGCGAUGAUCAGUAGCCGGUCUGAGAGGAUGAACGGCCACAUUGGGACUGAGACACGGCCCAGACUCCUACGGGAGGCAGCAGUGGGGAAUCUUCCGCAAUGGGCGAAAGCCUGACGGAGCAAUGCCGCGUGAGUGAUGAAGGAAUUCGUUCCGUAAAGCUCUUUUGUUUAUGACGAAUGUGCAGAUUGUGAAUAAUGAUCUGUAAUGACGGUAGUAAACGAAUAAGCCACGGCUAACUACGUGCCAGCAGCCGCGGUAAUACGUAGGUGGCGAGCGUUGUCCGGAAUUAUUGGGCGUAAAGAGCAUGUAGGCGGUUUUUUAAGUCUGGAGUGAAAAUGCGGGGCUCAACCCCGUAUGGCUCUGGAUACUGGAAGACUUGAGUGCAGGAGAGGAAAGGGGAAUUCCCAGUGUAGCGGUGAAAUGCGUAGAUAUUGGGAGGAACACCAGUGGCGAAGGCGCCUUUCUGGACUGUGUCUGACGCUGAGAUGCGAAAGCCAGGGUAGCGAACGGGAUUAGAUACCCCGGUAGUCCUGGCCGUAAACGAUGGGUACUAGGUGUAGGAGGUAUCGACCCCUUCUGUGCCGGAGUUAACGCAAUAAGUACCCCGCCUGGGGAGUACGUCCGCAAGGAUGAAACUCAAAGGAAUUGACGGGGGCCCGCACAAGCGGUGGAGUAUGUGGUUUAAUUCGAAGCAACGCGAAGAACCUUACCAGGGCUUGACAUCCUACUAACGAGAUAGAGAUAUGUUAGGUGCCCUUCGGGGAAAGUAGAGACAGGUGGUGCAUGGUUGUCGUCAGCUCGUGUCGUGAGAUGUUGGGUUAAGUC
rnacentral:rRNA from 1 species